rnacentral:rRNA from 1 species
GAUGAACGCUGGCGGCGUGCCUAAUACAUGCAAGUCGAGCGAACAGACGCGGUGCUUGCUCCUCUGCCGUUAGCGCCCGGCGGGAGAGUAACAUGUGUAUCACCUAACUCUAAGCCCGGGAUACCUUCGGGAUACCGGUGCUACUAUCGGACAAUUUAUUGACCCUCUUGGCUCGUUAGUGCUAGAUGGUUUUGCUUUGCCUUAUAGCUGGAUCCGAGCCCCUUUAGCUAGUUGGUAAGGGAACGGCUUACCAAGGCAUGGAUGCGUAGCCGGCCUGAGCGAGUGAUCGGCCACACGGGAACGGAGACACGGUCCAGACUCCGGCGGUAGGCAGCAGAAGGGAAUCUUCCGCGAAGGGGGAAAGCCUAACAGUGCAACGCCGCGUAAGUGAUGAAGAUCUUCGGAUCGUAAAACUCUGUUAUUAGUGAAGAACAAAAGUGUAAGUAACUAUGCACGUCUUGACGGUACCUAAUCAGAAAGCCACGGCUAACUACGUG